rnacentral:rRNA from 1 species
GUGGGGAAUAUUGGGCAAUGGGCGAAAGCCUGACCCAGCAACGCCGCGUGAAGGAAGAAGGUCUUCGGAUCGUAAACUUCUAUCCUUGGUGAAGAUAAUGACGGUAGCCGAGAAGGAAGCCCCGGCUAACUACGUGCCAGCAGCCACGGUAAUACGUAGGGGGCAAGCGUUGUCCGGAAUGAUUGGGCGUAAAGGGCGCGUAGGCGGCCUGGUAAGUCUGGAGUGAAAGUCCUGCUUUUAAGGUGGGAAUUGCUUUGGAUACUGUCGGGCUUGAGUGCAGGAGAGGUAAGUGGAAUUCCCGGUGUAGCGGUGAAAUGCGUAGAGAUCGGGAGGAAAACCAGUGGCGAAGGCGACUUACUGGACUGUAACUGACGCUGAGGCGCGAAAGUGUGGGGAGCAAACAGGAUUAGAAACCCUGGUAGUCC